CCGGCCUUUGAUCUCGGAUCUUCACUUCGAGAGUGAAGGUGCGUCAUCUCCGUGCUACUGACAUUGGAAGGUGAUGUCACGUGCGGCUAAAUAUGCUCCUGUGACAUCUGAAGCAAAGGCACACAGCGUUAAAGCUCAUGUUUCAGUGUAUGCGGUGUGAUGUCAAUCCCAUGAUGCCUCAGUCUGACCAGCGUGAGCACGUGUUGAUGGGCUCCUCCGCUG